AGCAGCAUGGCGCAGUCUGGAAGCGCGCGGGGCCCAUAUUGCUUGUGUAAGCGGUUACCCCGAGGUCACUCGAUCGAAACGAGUUGCUGCUA